rnacentral:rRNA from 1 species
AAAACUUUCAACAACGGAUCUCUUGGUUCCGGCAUCGAUGAAGAACGCAGCGAAAUGCGAUACGUAAUGUGAAUUGCAGAAUUCAGUGAAUCAUCGAGUCUUUGAACGCACAUUGCGCCCCCUGGUAUUCCGGGGGGCAUGCCUGUCCGAGCGUCAUUGCUGCCCUCAAGCCCGGCUUGUGUGUUGGGUCUCGUCCCCCU